CCUACGGGUGGCAGCAGUGGGGAAUAUUGCACAAUGGGGGAAACCCUGAUGCAGCGACGCCGCGUGAGUGAGGAAGUAUUUCGGUAUGUAAAGCUCUAUCAGCAGGGAAGAAAAUGACGGUACCUGACUAAGAAGCCCCGGCUAACUACGUGCCAGCCGCCGCGGUAAUACGUAGGGGGCAAGGCGUAUCCGGAUUUACUGGGUGUAAAGGGAGCGUAGGCGGCUGAUCAAGUCAGAAGUGAAAACCCAGGGCUCAACCUUGGGACUGCUUUUGAAACUGAGAAGCUAGAGUGCAGGAGAGGUAAGCGGAAUUCCUGGUGUAGCGGUGAAAUGCGUAGAUAUCAGGAGGAACACCAGUGGCGAAGGCGGCUUCCUGGACUAUAACUGACGUUGAGGCUCGAAAGCGUGGGGAGCAAACAGGAUUAGAUACCCCUGUAGUC
rnacentral:rRNA from 1 species